AACGUAGGAGGCGAGCGUUAUCCGGAUUUACUGGGCGUAAAGCGCGUGUAGGUGGUUCGGAAAGUUGGAUGUGAAAGCUCCUGGCUCAACUGGGAGAGGUCGUUCAAUACUUCCGAACUAGAGUGUGGGAGAGGGAGGUGGAAUUCCGGGUGUAGUGGUGAAAUGCGUAGAUAUCCGGAGGAACACCAGUGGCGAAAGCGGCCUCCUGGCCCGCUACUGACACUCAGACGCGAAAGCUAGGGUAGCAAACGGG
rnacentral:rRNA from 1 species